AACAAUUUCUUCAGAGGAGUCCUCUUUCCUCACUGGCCACAAGUCAUCCACCCCCAAGGACUGCUGAGAGCCUUUCCAGAGAAGCCUGGAGAACACACAGACUGCAGUCAGAGAACCACCAGUAUGUGAUUUUGGAAAGAAAAGAGCUUCUGGCUUCUGGACAGUGAUUCUGAUGGAAGAGAAAACGUGUGAUAUUUAUAUACAGAAAAGUGUCAGAUGAAUAUAAUUCCCUUCUAUGCUCCCCCAGGAAAAGCAAUCAAAGAGUUACCCCCACCCCUCAAUUCACUGACCCAGACAGAAAAUUUGUCAUACCCAUACCACCAAGUGCUGCUGCACAGGAGAGCAACAACAGGGGAAGCAAUGGGAGCCCUGUCUGCUGGUUUCAGUGACAAGAAACAUGAGUAUGGAUAAAAGGGCAUGUUGAAUUUUGAAACUAAACAUCACAACUGCAGCCACAAAUGAGAGCAGCCAAUAAAUCAACAGGACCCCUGAAGACUGGAUGCCCAUCAUUC